rnacentral:rRNA from 1 species
UACGUAGGGUGCAAGCGUUGUCCGGAAUUAUUGGGCGUAAAGAGCUCGUAGGCGGUCUGUCGCGUCUGCUGUGAAAACUCGGGGCUUAACCCCGGGCCUGCAGUGGGUACGGGCAGACUAGAGUGCGGUAGGGGAGACUGGAAUUCCUGGUGUAGCGGUGAAAUGCGCAGAUAUCAGGAGGAACACCGGUGGCGAAGGCAGCUCUCUGGGACGGUACUGACGCUGAGACGCGAAAGCGUGGGGAGCGAACAGG